rnacentral:lncRNA from 1 species
UAAACCCUACCUAACCCUAAACCCUACCUACCCGAAACCCUACCUACCCUAAACCCUACCUAACCCUAAACCCUACUAACCCUAAACCUUACCUAACCCUAAAUCCUAUCGAAUCCUAAACCCUACUAACCCUAAACCCUACUAACCUAAACCCUACUAACUCUAAACCCUACUAACCCUAAAUCCUACCUAAUUCCAAACCCUACCUAACCCUAAAUCCUAGCUAACCCUAAACCCUACCUAUCCUAAACCCUACCAAACCCUAAACCCUACCUAGCCCUAAACCCUACUAACCCUAAACCCUACCAACCCUAAACCCUACCAACCCUAAACCCAAUCUAUCCCUAAAUCCUAUUAACCCUAAACCUUACCUAACCUUAAGCCCUACUUACCCUAAACCCUUUUUAACCCUAAACCCUUUCUAACCCUAAACCUUUCCUAACCCUAAACUCUGCCUAACCCCAAAAACCCUACCUAACCCUAACCCUUUCUAACCCUAAACCCUAUCUAACCCUAACCCUUUCUAACCCUAAACCCUACCUAACCCUAAACCCUACCUAACCCUAAACCCUACUAACCCUAUCUAAUUAUAAACCCUACCUAACCCUAAACCCUACCUAACUCUAAACCCUACCUAACCCUAAACCCUACCUACCCGAAACCCUACCUAACCCUAAACUCUACCUAACCCUAAACCCUACCUAGCCCUAAACCCUACUAACCCUAAACCCUACCUAACCCUAAACCGUACCAACCCUAAACCCUACCUAACUAUAAACCCUACUAACCUUAAAUCCUACCUAUCCCUAAACCCUACCUACUCUAAACCCUUUUAACCCAAAACCCUACCUAACCCUAAACCCUUCCUAACCCUAAACCCUGUCUAACCCUAAAACCCUACCUAACCUAAACCAUUUCUAACCCUAAACCCUACCUAACCCUAAACCCUGUCCAAACCUAACCCUAAAACCCUACAUAAACCUAACCAUAAAUCCUAUCUAAAGCUAAAACUCUACCAACCCUAAACACUAAAAAAUAAUCUCAAAACUUAAAGCUAAAAAGACCUAAACUCUAC